CCUACGGGCGGCAGCAGUGGGGAAUAUUGGACAAUGGGGGGAACCCUGAUCCAGCCAUGCCGCGUGUGUGAAGAAGGCCCUCGGGUUGUAAAGCACUUUCAGUGAGGAAGAACGCCUGGUGGUUAAUACCCAUCAGGAAAGACAUCACUCACAGAAGAAGCACUGGCUAACUCCGUGCCAGCAGCCGCGGUAAUACGGAGGGUGCGAGCGUUAAUCGGAAUUACUGGGCGUAAAGCGCGCGUAGGUGGCUUGAUAAGCCGGUUGUGAAAGCCCCGGGCUCAACCUGGGAACGGCAUCCGGAACUGUCAAGCUAGAGUGCAGGAGAGGAAGGUAGAAUUCCCGGUGUAGCGGUGAAAUGCGUAGAGAUCGGGAGGAAUACCAGUGGCGAAGGCGGCCUUCUGGACUGACACUGACACUGAGGUGCGAAAGCGUGGGUAGCAAACAGGAUUAGAUACCCCAGUAGUC
rnacentral:rRNA from 1 species